GUGCUUGCUUCAGCAACACGUAUACUAAAAUUGGACUGAUACAGAGAAGAUUAGCAAGGCCCCUAUGCAAGAAUGACUUGCAAAUUUGUGAAGCAUUCCAUAUUUCA